rnacentral:lncRNA from 1 species
GUUCCGGGCGCUUUGCCGGGCGUUAAUGGCGGCCAACAUCGCCGGUGCUGCGGCUUUCUCCCUAAAGUGUCACAGGAGCUAAGGGCGCUGCUUAACGAACUGCAGAAGACGCAGGCAGUUUCCCUUCCCAGACUCUGAUAACGACCAUUCUAUUCUCUAUCUCCAUGGUAUCUACUAUUUUACCUCCCAUAUGUAAGUGAGAAUAUGUAAUAUUUGUCUUUCUGUCCCUGGAUCAUUUCACUUAGCAUAAUGUCCUCCAGCUCCAUCUAUGUUGUUGCACAUGACAGGAUCUCAUUCUUCUUUAUGGCUGAAUAGUACUCGAUUGUGUAUGUGUACUGCAUUUUCUUUAUCCAUUCAUCCAUUGAUGGACACUUAGGUUGAUUCCCUAUCUUGGCUAUUGUGAAUAGUGCCGCAGUAAACAUGAGAGUGCAGAUAUCUCUCCAAUAUACUGAUUCCUUUCUAGGGAUGUAUACCUCGCAGUGGGGAUUGCUGGAUCAUAUGGUAGUUCUACUGAUAAACACACUUAAAACAAUUUCAAUACCUGCCA